rnacentral:tRNA from 1 species
GCGAGAGUGGUGAAACUGGUAGACACGCCAGACUUAGGAUCUGGUGCCCCCGGCAUAAGGGUUCGAGUCCCUUCUCUCGCA